GGUUUGAUUAUGGCUCAGAUUGAACGCUGGCGGGAUGCUUUACAUGCAAGUCGAACGGGCAGCACGGACUUCGUCUGGUGGCGAGUGGCGAAAUGUAGAGUAAUGUAUCGGAACGUGCCUAGUAGUGGGGAUAACUACGCGAAAGCGUGUAUUAAUACCGCAUACCGCCCUUUGGGGAAAGCGGGGGGACCUUCAGGCCUCGCAAUUAUUAUAGAGCGGCCGAUAUCGGAUUAUUGUUGCGGGUAACUGGUCAUUAAGGCGACGAUCCGGUAGCUGGUUUGAGAGGACGACCAGCCACACUGGGACUGAGACACGGCCCAGACUCUACGGAGGCAGUGCAGGGGAAUUUUGGAUGGUCAGGGGAACCCUGAUCCAGCCAUCCUGGGCGUGCGACAGGCCUUCGGGCGAAAAGCACUUUGUAGAGUAGAAACGGCACGGGAUAAUACCCCGUGCAACUGACGGUACCUUGGUGAAUAAGCACCGGCUAACUACGCGCCAGCACAGGUGGCAAUAUUGGUAGGGUGCAAGCGUUAAUCUGGAAUUCGUUUGGGCGUAAAGUGUGCGCAGUGGUUCGAAAGAAAGAUGAAAUCCCAGAUAACUUUGAACCGCAUUUUUAACCCAUCGAGCUAGAGUGUCAGAGGGAGGUGGAAUUCCGUGUGGCAGGAAAUGCGUAGAUAUGCGGAGGAACACCGAUGGCGAAGGCAGCCUCCUGGGAUAACACCGACGCUCAUGCACGAAAGCGUGGAGCAAACAGAUUAGAUACCCUGGUAGUCCACGCCUAAACGAUGUCAACUAGCUGUUGGGGCCUUUCGGCACUGGUGAAGUGUGCCAUCGCGUGAAGUUGACCGCCUGGGGAGUACGGUCGCAAGAUUAAAACUCAAAGGAAUUGACGGGGACCCGCACAGUGGUGGAUGACAGAUUAGUCUGAGGGGCGCGAAACUCAUCACCCUUUGAUGAAUGUCUGGAACUCUGAAGAGAUUUGGGAGUGCUCGCAGAGAACCAACAGGUGCCGCAUGUCGUCAGCUCGUCACGAGAUGUUGGGUUAAGUCCUGCAACGAGCGGCAACCUUGGUCAUUAGUUGCUACUGAACGACGACUGCCGGUGACAAACCGGAGAAGGUGGGGAUGACGUCAAGUCCCCGCGGCCUGGCGGGCAGGUGGCCUGGCUGUCAUACAAUGGUCGGGACAGAGGGUCGCCAACCCGCGAGGGGGAGCCAACUUGCAGAAACCCGAUCGUAAGUCCGAUCAGCGUCUGCAACCUGACUGAAAGAAGCUGAAACUGCCAGCACCUGCAGGACUGCCAUGUCGCGGUGAAUACGUUCCCUGUGUGGUCUGCGAUGACACCGCCCGUCGCACCAUGGGAUGGGGUUUUACCAGAAGCAGUUAGCUUCAAUCCGUAAGGAGUGGGCGAUUACCACGGUAGGAUUCAUGAUCAGCAGGAAACACGUAAUAGCGUAACCC
rnacentral:rRNA from 1 species